GCUGCGCCUACCUCGACGGAGGGAAAACCGGGAUACCUUCACCCGGCUGGCGCGGCUCUUGAACUGAAGG
rnacentral:sRNA from 12 species